rnacentral:rRNA from 1 species
CGAACGGUACCAGAGGUGCUUGCACUUCUUGAGUGCGGCCGACGGGUGAGUAAUGACUAGGAAUCUGCCUGUUAGUGGGGCUUCACGUACGGAAACGGACGCUCAUACCGCAUAAGUCCUACGGGAGAAAGUGGGGGAUCUCUUGGUCCCUCACGCUGCCAUAUGAUGCCUACGUCGGAUUAGAUAGUGUGUGAGGUAAGGACUCACCCUAGGCGACGGACUCCUGUAGCUGUUCUGAGAGGAAUGAUCACUCACACUGGAACUGAGACACGGUCCCAGACUCCCUCCGGGAGGCAGCAGUGGGAAUAUUGCACCAAUGGCGCAAGCCUGAUCCAGCCAUGCCGCGUGUAUGAAGAAGUCCUCGGAUGUAAAGCACUUCAGUGGGGAGGAAGGCGGUAAGUUAAUAACCCUGCUGUAUGACGUACCGGCAGAAGAAGCACCGGCUAACUCCGUGCCAGCAGCCGCGGUAAUACAGAGGGUGCAAGCGUUAAUCGGAAUUACUGGGCGUAAAGCGCGCGCAGGCGGUCAGCAAGUCGGAUGUGAAAUCCCCGGGCUCAACCUGGGAACUGCAUUCAAAACUGCAGGCUAGAGUCUGUAGAGGGGGGUAGAAUUUCAUGUGUAGCGGUGAAAUGCGUAGAUAUAGGAAGGAACACCAGUGGCGAAGGCGACCCCCUGGACAAAUACUGACACUCAGGUGCGAAAGCGUGGGGAGCAAACAGGAUUAGAUACCCUGGUAGUCCACGCCGUAAACGAUGUCGACUAGCAGGUUGAAUCCUUGAGACGUGACUUCCGCAGCUAACGCAUUAAGUCGACCGCCUGGGGAGUACGGCCGCAAGGUUAAAACUCAAAUGAAUUGACGGGGGCCCGCACAAGCGGUGGAGCAUGUGGUUUAAUUCGAAGCAACGCGAAGAACCUUACCUACUCUUGACAUCCUGAGAACCUUUCAGAGAUGAGAGGGUGCCUUCGGGAACUCAGAGACAGGUGCUGCAUGGCUGUCGUCAGCUCGUGUUGUGAAAUGUUGGGUUAAGUCCCGCAACGAGCGCAACCCUUGUCCUUAGUUGCCAGCACUUCGGCCGGGCACUCAAAGGAGACUGCCAGUGACAAACCGGAGGAAGGUGGGGAUGACGUCAAGUCAUCAUGGCCCUUACGGCCAGGGCUACACACGUGCUACAAUGGUCGGUACAGAGGGAAGCCACCUCGCGAGAGCAAGCUAACCUCAGAAAACCGAUCGUAGUCCGGAUCGCAGUCUGCAACUCGACUCCGUGAAGUCGGAAUCGCUAGUAAUCGUGGAUCAGAAUGCCACGGUGAAUACGUUCCCGGGCCUUGUACACACCGCCCGUCA